rnacentral:lncRNA from 1 species
UGUGAGGAGACAAGGAGUCCAGUCAUGUAUGUGAUACUGUCCUUGUUUUCCAGUAAGGAAACUGAGGCCUAGAAAUUAAGUGAAUUUACCACCUGACACCAGGCCUGGAAGAGAGAACAGUGGGACUUGAUCCCAGAUUUCUGGAUUUUCUCUUCUAUGAGGAAAACACUCAUAUCCUUGUAUCUUCCUUUUGGGACUAGUCCCAGCCCUGUUAACACUGCUGUGCAAAGUCAUGUGAAUGGGAGGGAGCCACAUGAAUUUGUGGUCAUGUGGCUAAAACAUGGUGGGCACAUAGUGUUAGAGAAUACUAGAAAGGUAAGUAGAGGCGUGUGUGUGUGUGUGUGUGUGUGUGUGUGUGUGUGUGU